rnacentral:rRNA from 1 species
UACGUAGGGGGCGAGCGUUGUCCGAAUUUACUGGGCGUAAAGCGCGCGUAGGCGGCUCUUUUAAGUCUGUGGUGAAAUCCUCCGGCUCAACCGGAGAACUGCCAUGGAUACUGGGGUGUCUCGAGGGUGGUAGGGGUAUGCGGAACUAUCGGUGGAGCGGUGAAAUGCGUUGAUAUCGAUAGGAACUCCGGUGGCGAAGCGGCAUACUGGACCACUUCUG